UACGUAGGGGGCGAGCGUUGUCCGGAUUUACUGGGCGUAAAGGGCGUGCAGGCGGUUUCUUAAGUUCCGCGUGACAGUUCUCGGCUCAACCGAGAAAGGCUUGCGGAAAACUGAGGAACUUGAGGGUCAGAGAGGGACAUAGAAUUCCGGGUGGAGUGGUGAAAUGCGUAGAGAUCCGGAGGAAUACCAAAGGCGAAGGCAGUGUCCUGGCUGACAUCUGACGCUGAGGCGCGAAAGCUAGGGGAGCGAACAGGAUUAGAUACCCUGGUAGUCCUAGCCGUAAACGAUGACCACUAGAUGUGCGGGGUAUCGACCCCCUGCGUGUCGGAGCUAACGUUUGAAGUGGUCCGCCUGGGGAGUACGGUCGCAAGAUUAAA
rnacentral:rRNA from 1 species